rnacentral:tRNA from 1 species
UAGACAGAAACCCUCUGGAUUGGGUGUUUAGCUGUUAACUAAAAUGUUUGUGGGAUCGAGACCCAUUUGUCUAG